rnacentral:misc_RNA from 1 species
AUUGGACCUCAUCGGCAAACGCGUGCACAUCCUCUACGCCGUCUCCUCCGCAGCGCACAACCUUGUUACCUGCACGUGAGGCCCACACACAGACACACCUCCCGCCGUGUCCCCUCCCCCCUCCCUCUCCCUCUCCCCCGUUACCUUGUGCCGCCUCGACGCGCCGUCUUCGUCUUCGAUUUCGCGCCCGCGUGUGGGGCGCGUGGCCCUUUGCCUUCCCUUUACGUCCAUGAACGAUGCUUCCGCGUCAAUGCAGUGGUGAGCUGUACCAGGUGCUGGAGCUCGAUGCGCAGUGCACCACGGCUGAGAUUUCGCAGCAGUACCGCCGCCUCGCCCUGCGCUACCACCCAGACCGCAAUGCAGGUGCAACUGUCGAGCAGUUCCAGCGGAUCGAGGAGGCGCACCGCGUCCUCAGCGAUCUGCGACAGCGUCAGCUGUACGACACCGUCGGUCGUGAAGGCCUGAAGCAGCUCGGCGACUACGGCGGUGGAAUGCUAGGCAGCCUGCUGCUCGCCGUCGGCAACGUUGCCGCAGGAUGUCUCCUCCUCGGCUUCAUGACGGCGGCGCUGUUUACCUCGCUGCUCAUCAGCUGCUACAAAAUUGACGCUCCACGCGAGUGGCCCUCGUGGGGUGUCGUGCUCAUCCCUGUCUGGUGCUUCCUGCCGGUGUUGCUGCUGGCCAGCCUCACGGUGAUGACGACGAGUGUGCGCCGUGGCAUGUACAUCCUGCUGCUCCCCAGUGCACGCCUUCUUCUUUGCGUCGUCAUCGCGGCGACAACGGCGGCCGCGCUCGAUCACCGCAUCGCCCCUCUCACCGCCUUCAUUCCGUGGCUGAUUUGGUACGUCCUGGGUACGGUGAGCGACCUCGCAAUGCUGGUGCCGACAGUGUACUCGCGCACGCGCACGCCCUUGUUCGGUGAGGGGAGAGCCGCCGGCGUCCGUGGCAAUCAUCGCACGAACACCUCGGUCGAGGAUCCGUUCCUGCGGCCUGGCAGUGGCCACGGUGAGGCCAGCAGCAUCGACGAAUCGGAGGCGACUCACAGCAGCGGCGCCGAGGGCGGUUUCGGCAAUGACUCCUUUCUCUCGCAGCCGUGGAAGACGGCGCGGUACUGGCGCGAGGUGGCCGAGGUGUUGUUCGAGGCGGUGUGCGUGUACGCCUUCCUUGCCUUGGCGUUUAGACGCGCCAUGCAGCAGCAGGCGCAUCUCGGAAGCCUGUAUUCGCUUCCGCAAAGCAGGGGCGCCGCCGGCGACAGAACCGGUGCCGCGCCUCCCGUGCUGAGCUUUUGGGUAAUUCUCGCGCCGCUGAUGACGUACUUCGGCGUACAUGUGCUCAUCAGCAUGCUCGAGGGCUCUUUCGUGGAGUCGACGGUGGCCACAACGCCACCGUCUCCAGAGGAGACGCCCGUCGCACGAAGCACGAGCACCAACGCGGCGGCCCCAUCGUCAUCGCAGCAGCAGUGCGCGCACCCUUGCCAUGUCAGCUGCAGGGAGCGCGUCGCCAACGUCAUUGUUCGCGCCUUCCCGUCGGCGUGUGGAUUGUACAUGACGUGCAUGUGGGCGCUGAAGGAAGAGUACGAGUACAACAAGCGCACCGGCGGCCCCGAUCCGUCGGCGUUCCUUGCCUUUCUCCCCAUCCUUGUCGUUCUCGGGGCCUUGGCCUUCCUUGUCUGCUGCGGCGGAUGUGUGGUGAUGUGCAUUGGUGGCGCCUUGUUCCCCGCAGAGAAUGCGGCGGCCGACUCUGCUGCCGCUGGUGUUAGUGGUGCUUCGCACGGUUCCGCGGGGCGCAACGGCAGAGAGAGCGACUACCGCAGCACUGUGUCUCGCGCGUCGCCGACUUCGACGGCCAGCGGUAACCGCAGCCACACUCACUCAAGACCUAGCCAGCAUGCGGGAGGCACCGGCGCGGCUACGAUGCCGAGCUGGCGAGGUGGAAGCGCCACGGAUGUCGCCAUCGAGCAAGUCGAUUAGCACGUGAUUUGACAAGCGACGCUGUGUGUGUGUGUGUGUGUGUGAUGUGCGUGCGGCCCUGUGCAUCGCUGCGCGUGUGCCUGCGUCGCGCAUGAUUGCUUUUCGGGCUUUCCUCUUUAAGUUUCUCGUGGCCGGGGGAGGGGAGUCUUGUGUGCCCCGCAUCGUCUUCGACAAGGCAUGAAGGAGCAGCAUCAUGUCUUGCCCCCCCCCUCCUGCGCCCCCUCCUUCAUCCUCAUCUUCGGACAUGUGCCUCCGCCGCUACCUGGCAGCCUUCCAUGCGUACUUGCUUGCACCCCAACCCAGCGCGAGAGAGGAGAAAGACUAUGUCACCGACAGCUGCGUCAGCGGCUGCGGCGGCGGCUUCGAACGCUUCGGUUCAGGAUAGACACACAAGGUGGUUGCAGUGUGGGGGAAAGGAGGGGGUGUUCGCAUGCUCGCCUGAACUCGUGUGAGAGUUGAAAAGUGAGCUCGCAGUGGCCUCACUGUCCGCAGCGGCGCCUCCUCCCAUGCCCUCCUCUGUUCGUUGUUCUCGCUCUCCGUAACCGCGAUUCUUCUUUGGCCCCUCCCCAACCCCCUGUCCGUGCCUCCACGAACACACACACAG